AGACGUCUACAUUAGAUACCCCCGUAGUCCCAGCCGUAAACUAUGCGCGUUAGGUGUAUCGGUGACCACGAGUUACCGAGGUGCCGAAGGGAAACCGUGAAACGUGCCGCCUGGGAAGUACGGUCGCAAGGCUGAAACUUAAAGGAAUUGGCGGGGAGCACCACAACGGGUGGAGCCUGCGGUUUAAUUGGACUCAACGCCGGGAAGCUCACCGGAUAAGACAGCGGAAUGAUUGCCGGGCUGAAGACUCUGCAUGACUAGCUG
rnacentral:rRNA from 1 species